rnacentral:rRNA from 1 species
UACGGAGGAUGCAAGCGUUAUCCGGAUUUAUUGGGUUUAAAGGGUGCGCAGGUGGUUUAAUAAGUCAGUGGUGAAAGUCUGCCGCUUAACGGUAGGAUUGCCAUUGAUACUGUUGGACUUGAAUAUGGAUGAGGUAGGCGGAAUGUGUAGUGUAGCGGUGAAAUGCAUAGAUAUUACACAGAACACCGAUUGCGAAGGCAGCUUACUAAUCCAUCAUUGACGCUGAGGCACGAAAGCGUGGGGAUCAAACAGGA